GACGAACGCUGGCGGCGUGCCUAAUACAUGCAAGUAGGACGCAGUUGCGAACGGGUGAGUAACGCGUAUGUAACUACCUAGUAGUGCGGGAUAACUAUUGGAAAUGAUAGCUAAUACCUCAUGCUAGUAGAUGGACCUGCGUUGUAUUAGCUAGUAGGUAGGGUAAAGGCAUACCUAGGCAACGAUACAUAGCCGACCGGGGAGGGUGUUCGGCCACACUGGGACUGAGACACGGCCCAGACUCCUACGGGGGGCAGCAGUAGGGAAUCUUCGGCAAUGGGGGGAAACCUGACCGAGCAAAGCCGCGUGAGUGAAGAAGGUUUUCGGAUCGUAAAGCUCUGUUGUUAAGGAAGCGGUACUUAACCAGAAAGGGACGGCUAACUACGUGCCAGCAGCCGCGGUAAUAC
rnacentral:rRNA from 1 species